AUUGAACGCUGGCGGCAGGCUUAACACAUGCAAGUCGAACGAGUGGCGGACGGGUGAGUAAUGCUUGGGAAUCUAGCUUAUGGAGGGGGAUAACUAUUGGAAACGGUAGCUAAUACCGCGUACCAUAGGAUGAGCCCAAGUGGGAUUAGGUAGUUGGUGGGGUAAAGGCUCACCAAGCCGACGAUCUCUAGCUGGUCUGAGAGGAUGACCAGCCAACCUGGGACUGAGACACGGUCCAGACUCCUAAGGGAGGCAGCAGUGGGGAAUAUUGCACAAUGGGGGCAACCUGACGCAGCCAUGCCGCGUGAAUGAAGAAGGCCUUCGGGUUGUAAAGUUCUUUCGGUGGCGAGGCGUUAACUGCAGAAGAAGCACCGGCUAACUCCGUGCCAGCAGCCGCGGUAAUAC
rnacentral:rRNA from 1 species